AUUGCCUUAGUAGCGGCGAGUGAGCGGCAAAAGCUCAAAUUUGAAAUCUGGCGCCUUCGGUGUCCGAGUUGUAAUUUGAAGAUUGUAACCUUGGGGUUGGCUCUUGUCUAUGUUUCUUGGAACAGGACGUCACAGAGGGUGAGAAUCCCGUGCGAUGAGAUGCCCAAUUCUAUGUAAGGUGCUUUCGAAGAGUCGAGUUGUUUGGGAAUGCAGCUCUAAGUGGGUGGUAAAUUCCAUCUAAAGCUAAAUAUUGGCGAGAGACCGAUAGCGAACAAGUACAGUGAUGGAAAGAUGAAAAGAACUUUGAAAAGAGAGUGAAAAAGUACGUGAAAUUGUUGAAAGGGAAGGGUUUGAGAUCAGACUCGAUAUUUUGUGAGCCUUGCCUUCGUGGCGGGGUGACCCGCAGCUUAUCGGGCCAGCAUCGGUUUGGGCGGUAGGAUAAUGGCGUAGGAAUGUGACUUUACUUCGGUGAAGUGUUAUAGCCUGCGUUGAUGCUGCCUGCCUAGACCGAGGACUGCGAUUUUAUCAAGGAUGCUGGCAUAAUGAUCCCAAACCGCCCGUCUUGAACCACGGGACCAAAA
rnacentral:rRNA from 1 species